ACACGAACCGUCCAAACGUUAUUCGGAAUCAUUGGGCUUGAAGGGUGCGUAGGCGGCGCGGUAAGUGAGAUGUGAAAUCCCUCGGCUCAACCGAGGAACUGCGUUUCAUACUGCCGUGCUCGAGGGAGACAGGGGUAAGCGGAACUGAUGGUGGAGCGGUGAAAUGCGUUGAUAUCAUCAGGAACACCGGUGGCGAAGGCGGCUUACUGGGUCUCUUCUGACGCUGAGGCACGAAAGCUAGGGUAGCGAACGGGAUUAGAAACCCCAGUAGUCC
rnacentral:rRNA from 1 species